UACGUGGGGAGCAAGCGUUGUUCGGAUUUACUGGGCGUAAAGGGCGCGUAGGCGGCCACCGCAAGUCGACUGUGAAAUCUCCGGGCUUAACCCGGAAAGGUCAGCCGAUACUGCGGGGCUAGAGUGCAGAAGGGGCAACUGGAAUUCUCGGUGUAGCGGUGAAAUGCGUAGAUAUCGAGAGGAACACCUGCGGCGAAGGCGGGUUGCUGGGCUGACACUGACGCUGAUGCGCGAAAGCUAGGGGAGCGAACGGG
rnacentral:rRNA from 1 species